GUUACUUGCAUUGCAGCUGGUGGAUGGGUCAAGUUUCUAGGUUACUAUAUUCAGUAAAUUUCCACACAUAAUUUCAUUUUAAAUCUUGUUGGGCACAGAGUUUUCCUAGUGAAAAAAUGAGUUUCUUGGAGAAUGUGUGAUUAAAAAGUGGGGAAAAGUUGUGGUGGGUCCAUAGAACGGGUGAUUUAAAUAUGAUUUUGGAGAAAAAUGAUGUUUAAAAGAAAAAUCUUUGACUAACAAGCCUUUAAUAAAUAUAUAAAGCAUGCAUCUGUCAUAUCUGAAGCCAAGCCUUUUUAGUUGUGCUGCUACCUCCCUGAAGCCAAUUUUCUAUUUCUUUUCCUACGACUAAUAAAUGUUUUUGGCCCCCUGGUUAUAAGGCAUGUCUAUACAAUGUUUACUUGAUGAGCUACACACCCCUUACUAUUUUCUGUGUUUUAAAGACAUUGAUUCGAAAUAAUUUGUGCAGAAACCCUUGUAAUAAUUGACAAGUUGUAGAAAUUGGAUGGGUAAUUGAGCAGUGAUAAUUGAAUUGAUGCAUAGAAAUUCUGUGAAUGUUUCCAAGGAGGAUAGAAAAGCGUUCAUGUACAUCAACAUCAAUUAACUAAUUGGCCUAUAUUUUGGUGGCAGCCAAAAUAUUACCUCUUAUAUAAAUGUCUGGGUGAUGAGUCAAAAUGUAGAAUUGAAUGUUUUCAAUAAGUCUUUUUCUUAUUUUCCCGUAAUUUGCUUCCCUGAUAACAAAAUUUUAUGCGGUGAGUCAAAUUAUGUGAUUGUUUGGUAGAUCCAGAGAUGUGAGACCUUUAGUGUUGAAUGGACAAUUCAUCCACUUGAUUUUGAUACUUCCAAAAAUUUAUGUCACUGUGAUUGAUUACACAAAGAGUUGUAUGCUAGGGGAUGGCUACAAUAGAAAGUGUCGAACUAAUUCUGAACUGUCCAUUGAAUUUAUAGAAAGGACUUUCUUUCACCUGCCCUCCAAGGAAAGUUUCUGAGCUUUGGAAAUGGAAGAAAAGCUAUCAUUUUUCUUUUUUUUUUCUUUGUUAUUUAUCUUGUAUUUUCUAUAAAUCUGCAUGGAAUAUAUGGGUAUCAAUUAUCAGUCUUUGAAAUAAUCACUGAAUCCUUGUUUCCUUGCAUGACACAAAUGUAUAGCAGCUAUAGCUUAUGCCCAUAAUAUUGGAGUGAGAACCCAUUAUAUUACCUGAACACUUUAUAUGAAGCUGUCUGCAUCUGGAUGGAGCCAGAAGGCUGGCUUCGAGAGGACCAUUAUUCCACACUGGUAUGGGCCAUGUGGAAGACACUAGUUAAAUUGAUUGAAAAGGAUUUCACAAGUGAACUGGGGAGAAGUUUGUUGUAGAAAAUAUAAAAUAAAAUAUGUG
rnacentral:lncRNA from 1 species